GAAAUCACUCUUAUCAACCAUCCAGGAAAACAAGGAAAUCCACAAGAGUCAAGACAGAGAAAAGAGGAGCCAGAAAUAUGGGACAUUCAGAGGAAAGAGAACUGGCGAGAGUCAAGCAAAAGAGGAAAGGAAGCUGAUUUCUAUGCUGAUAAG